rnacentral:rRNA from 1 species
GAUGAACGCUGGCGGCGUGCCUAAUACAUGCAAGUCGAGCGAACGGACGAGAAGCUUGCUUUUCUGAUGUUAGCGGCGGACGGGUGAGUAACACGUGGAUAACCUACCUAUAAGACUGGGAUAACUUCGGGAAACCGGAGCUAAUACCGGAUAAUAUUUUGAACCGCAUGGUUCAAAAGUGAAAGACGGUCUUGCUGUCACUUAAAGAUGGAUCCGCGCUGCAUUAGCUAGUUGGUAAGGUAACGGCUUACCAAGGCAACGAUGCAUAGCCGACCUGAGAGGGUGAUCGGCCACACUGGAACUGAGACACGGUCCAGACUCCUACGGGAGGCAGCAGUAGGGAAUCUUCCGCAAUGGGCGAAAGUCUGACGGAGCAACGCCGCGUGAGUGAUGAAGGUCUUCGGAUCGUAAAACUCUGUUAUUAGGGAAGAACAUAUGUGUAAGUAACUGUGCACAUCUUGACGGUACCUAAUCAGAAAGCCACGGCUAACUACGUG